GCAUCCUGCAUCUAACCAUGCCGCGUGAGUGAUGAAGGCCUUAGGGUCGUAAAGCUCUUUCGCCUGGGAUGAUAAUGACAGUACCUGGUAAAGAAACCCCGGCUAACUCCGUGCCAGCAGCCGCGGUAAUACGGAGGGGGUUAGCGUUGUUCGGAAUUACUGGGCGUAAAGCGCGCGUAGGCGGAUUAGUCAGUUGGAGGUGAAAUCCCGGGGCUCAACCCCGGAACUGCCUUUAAAACUGCUAGUCUUGAGUUCGAGAGAGGUGAGUGGAAUUCCGAGUGUAGAGGUGAAAUUCGUAGAUAUUCGGAGGAACACCAGUGGCGAAGGCGGCUCACUGGCUCGAUACUGACGCUGAGGUGCGAAAGUGUGGGGAGCAAACAGGAUUAGAUACCCUGGUAGUCCACACCGUAAACGAUGAAUGCCAGUCGUCGGGUAGUAUACUAUUCGGUGACACACCUAACGGAUUAAGCAUUCCGCCUGGGGAGUACGGUCGCAAGAUUAAAACUCAAAGGAAUUGACGGAUCCU
rnacentral:rRNA from 1 species